UCUGUCUCUCCCAAAAUAAAGAAAUAAACUUAAAAAAAAUAGGCCACAGACUCUUGCAUAUUCUCACCCCUAUUGCUUUGGAUGAAAAGCUGAAACUUGGAGACGUUAAAUGACUUCAACGAGGCCACACAUUAACAGAAGUGGAACUAGAAGUUUCCUCCCAGGCAGGAGAAUCCAGCUAAUAGGCCAGACUUCUCUGUCCAUGCAUCCAGGGUACUGCUGAUCCAGUUAGACUGACAAAUCCAUCAUGGCAGGGUUUUUAGGGUCAUUCCUCUAUUCAAUAAAUAUUUACAUAUUAAAGUGGGCAGUCCUACCAGGCCAGGAGACACGAUGAGGAGUCAAUUCAGGCGGUCUGCCUCCUAAGUGCAGGGGGACUUAAAAAGCUUCUUCAUCUGUGUAUGCAUAUUUGAGGCUGGGGGUGGGGCUGAGGGUGGGGCUGUCAGUGGCCGUGGGAGGUGGAGGUGAGAUAAGAUACGCUACUAGAGUGAAAGCAGACGAUAGCUUUUUGACAGUGUCACCUGAAUACAGCACGCUGCCCAAAGCAUGUGAGAUGAGCACGGGAAGGAGUGAGUGACCGUCGGGGACAAGCAGGAAUUUGGUUGAAGCUAUCAACAGCAACAACAGAACUCACUGCAGAGAAUGUCUGCUGGGGAGAAGAAUACCAGAAGAACCCAGAUACAUCACCCCAGGAAGGGGAGGAAUAAUACCCUUGUCACAGCCUCAUUGGUGGUGUCUCACCAUCGACCUUUGGCAAGUUGUGCUGGAAAGGGAUGGUCAGAGUUCCAAAGUGCAAUAUUAUAUUUCCAAUUAAAAUGUAAAAACAAACCUUUUUCAUAAAGCACAUUGGCCUCCGCGCUGGGAAGUGACUACAAAGCCCGUCGCUGAUUGAGAAAAGCUGAAAGCAGACACUGUAAUUGAUAAAGGAGAUAAGUCAAUCUGUGUCCUUUAAAGAAUAAUGAGUUCCAUUUUUCAUCAAAAAGAUCUCCUUGUGCCGAAGAAACAUUCUUUCAAUAAAUCUACUUAAUGGCUUUCCCUCCAAUGAUCUAUAACACUGCGCUUUGGAAGGAGCUCGGAGCAUCCUAGCGGGUUCCUGCAGGGGGCUGCAGGCCACCCAACAUUUGCAUUGCUAAUCUAACCCAAAGAAAACCCAAAGGGUUCCCAGGCAGGGCUGCGGUUCUGGGCCAAACAUCUGGAGGCUUUCCCGGGCUCUUCAGGCAGGUAGGUGGGACGGAAUUUUGAAAUAAAUAUCCCCCCACUAAACUUGAGGUCCUCUGCGAACGUACCUCUCCCGCGCCUACCACCACGGCUCUGCUGUGUCAGGGAUACCUCAGCCAUGAGGAUGGCUCACGUCAGAGAGCUCAAGAGUUAAAUGUUUCAGAUAUUUGGGUUGUGAGAACUGAUUAGCUCGUUUGUUCCCUGGGCUCAUCACUCCCCUACAGCCCUGACGGCCUUGGUGUUGUUCUGACCGUGGGCUGCAGGAGGUAGCCCGUGUUUAUUGUGUUUGGUAAACUGAAGAUCCACUUUAAAGCCCCUGCCCGAAGUGGUGCUGCGUACGGGCCUGUUCCCCACCCGGCUGAGGGCCUAAGCCUCAGGUGGUAAAAGGCAGAGCAGAAGAAACAGCCUGUCCCCUUCGAAGGCAAUGAUUCAGGGCUCUCCGCACCCUGGCGCGAGGCAGCAGGACGUAUCGUUCAGCUUGGCUUACCUUGUGAACCCCAACUUUACAAAUGCGCUGAUCUCCACCAGGACCCAGCUUUAUGUAACGAAACCUAUUUCCUCCGAGGGCACCGGCCCUCCCAACACUGGCAGACUUCCCCACAUGGGAAUCAUUAAAAACAACCUUCGAGUUAUUUCCUUA